UAGGGAAUCUUCGGCAAUGGGAGGAACCCUGACCGAGCAACGCCGCGUGAGUGAAGAAGGUUUUCGGAUCGUAAAGCUCUGUUGUUAAGGAAGAACGAGUGUGAGAAUGGAAAGUUCAUACUGUGACGGUACUUAACCAGAAAGGGACGGCUAACUACGUGCCAGCAGCCGCGGUAAUACGUAGGUCCCGAGCGUUGUCCGGAUUUAUUGGGCGUAAAGCGAGCGCAGGCGGUUAGGUAAGUCUGAAGUUAAAGGCAGUGGCUCAACCAUUUGAAGGUUUUGAAACUGUUUAACUUUGAUGCAGGAGGGGGGAGGGGAAAUCCAUUUGUAGCGGUGAAAUUCGUUGGUUUAUGGAGGAAAACCGGUGGCGAAAGCGGCUCUCUGGUCUGUAACUGGCGCUGGGGCUCGAAAGGGUGGGGAGCGAACAGG
rnacentral:rRNA from 1 species